GUGGCGAACGGGUGAGUAACACGUGAGCAAUCUGCCCUUGACUCUGGGAUAACUGCGGGAAACUGUAGCUAGUACCGGAUAUUACCUUGGAAGGCAUCUUCUGGGGUGGAAAGAAUUUUGGUCAAGGAUGAGCUCGCGGCCUAUCAGCUAGUUGGUGAGGUAAUGGCUCACCAAGGCGACGACGGGUAGCCGGCCUGAGAGGGUGACCGGCCACACUGGGACUGAGACACGGCCCAGACUCCUACGGGAGGCAGCAGUGGGGAAUAUUGCACAAUGGGCGCAAGCCUGAUGCAGCAACGCCGCGUGAGGGACGACGGCCUUCGGGUUGUAAACCUCUAUUAGUAGGGAAGAAGCGACUGGGUUUUCCUGGGAGUGACGGUACCUGCAGAAAAAGCACCGGCUAACUACGUGCCAGCAGCCGCGGUAAUACGUAGGGUGCAAGCGUUGUCCGGAAUUAUUGGGCGUAAAGAGCUCGUAGGCGGUUUGUCGCGUCUGCUGUGAAAACCCGAGGCUCAACCUCGGGCCUGCAGUGGGUACGGGCAGACUAGAGUGCGGUAGGGGAGAUUGGAAUUCCUGGUGUAGCGGUGGAAUGCGCAGAUAUCAGGAGGAACACCAAUGGCGAAGGCAGAUCUCUGGGCCGUAACUGACGCUGA
rnacentral:rRNA from 1 species